rnacentral:rRNA from 1 species
UACAGAGGUCUCAAGCGUUGUUCGGAUUCAUUGGGCGUAAAGGGUGCGUAGGUGGCGCUGUAAGUCGGGUGUGAAAUUUCGGAGCUCAACUCCGAAACUGCAUUCGAUACUGCGGUGCUUGAGGACUGGAGAGGAGACUGGAAUUCCUGGUGUAGCGGUGAAAUGCGCAGAUAUCAGGAGGAACACCGAUGGCGAAGGCAGGUCUCUGGGCCACUACUGACGCUGAGACGCGAAAGCGUGGGGAGCGAACAGG